rnacentral:rRNA from 1 species
UACAGAGGGGGCAAGCGUUGUUCGGAAUUACUGGGCGUAAAGGGCGCGUAGGCGGCCUUCUAAGUCGAACGUGAAAUCCCCGGGCUUAACCUGGGAACUGCAUUUGUGACUGCAUAGCUGGAGUACGGUAGAGGGGGAUGGAAUUCCGCGUGUAGCAGUGAAAUGCGUAGAUAUGCGGAGGAACACCGAUGGCGAAGGCAGUCCCCUGGACCUGUACUGACGCUCAUGCACGAAAGCGUGGGGAGCAAACAGG